UUAGUGGCGGACGGGUGAGUAACGCGUGGAUAACCUGCCGUAUACCGGGGAUAACACUUAGAAAUAGGUGCUAAUACCGCACUAAGCGCACGGCUCCGCAUGGGGCAGUGUGAAAAACUCCGGUGGUAUACGAUGGAUCCGCGUCUGAUUAGCUAGUUGGCGGGGUAACGGCCCACCAAGGCAGCGAUCAGUAGCCGGCCGUGAGAGGGUGAACGGCCCACAUUGGGACUGAGACACGGCCCAAACUCCUACGGAAGGCAGCAG
rnacentral:rRNA from 1 species